GACGAACGCUGGCGGCGUGCCUAAUACAUGCAAGUAGAACGCUGAAGGAGGAGCUUGCUUCUCUGGAUGAGUUGCGAACGGGUGAGUAACGCGUAGGUAACCUGCCUGGUAGCGGGGGAUAACUAUUGGAAACGAUAGCUAAUACCGCAUAAUAGCAGUUGUUGCAUGACAACUGUUUGAAAGGUGCAAUUGCACCACUACCAGAUGGACCUGCGUUGUAUUAGCUAGUUGGUGGGGUAACGGCUCACCAAGGCGACGAUACAUAGCCGACCUGAGAGGGGGAUCGGGCAAACUGGGACUGGGACAAGGCCCAGAAUCCUACGGGAGGCAGCAGUAGGGAAUCUUCGGCAAUGGACGGAAGUCUGACCGGGCAACGCCGCGUGAGUGAAGAAGGUUUUCGGAUCGUAAAGCUCUGUUGUAAGAGAAGAACGAGUGUGGGAGUGGAAAGUUCACACUGUGACGGUAUCUUACCAGAAAGGGACGGCUAACUACGUG
rnacentral:rRNA from 1 species